rnacentral:tRNA from 1 species
GGUGGCUCAGUGGUAGAGCGCUUGCCUUGCAUGCAAGAGGCCCUAGGUUCGAUUCCUCAGCACCA